UCCAUCGCGAGGUGGAAUCUGAAGGAAGCAGUAGGCAAACUCUUGGCCUGACGAACAGAAACUAUAUACAAGGCCAGAAAUGUUGGAUAAGGUUGCUAUACAAACCGAAGUCCCAAACUGUACGGGAACAUUAUGGUAAAUAUAGCAGGCAGAUGAGAGGAAAGUUAUCGUU
rfam:Flavobacterium johnsoniae TW101, complete genome.